UUCAGCAGGUGACAGUAUCACAGAACGGUGAAGCAGUUGAAUCUGCUCAUGGUCUGGCCUAUGACAGUACAAAACAGGUCCUGUUAAUCAGCCAGCUUGAACUCGAUUUGGGCAGAGACUACACAGUGAAAUGGAGUUAAAGUACCUGCAAAUAACACUAGUCUGCAAGUAACACUCAAAUAACACUGAAAAUAACACUGCAAGUAACAUCUCGGGACCUUCUCUUUUUCUUAAACAAUCUUUCAAUUUUCAUACUGCAUUUUUGAAAUUUUAAAAUACUUUGUGCUAUAAAAAUGCACUAGCUAUAGUCAGUUCAUAUUAAGGCAUUAUGUAUAUAUAAAGCAGUCAUAUUUUACUAUCGUUCAAGGCUAACUGCAAGCUAUCUGUGUGAUACAGAAUUUGUUUUUUAAAUAUUAUGGCCCUUGAAUAUAGCUUCAUGUUUCAAAAUUAAAGCUUUUAUAGGAUUCCA